rnacentral:rRNA from 1 species
GACGAACCGUGCGAACGUUGUUCGGAAUCACUGGGCUUAAAGGGCGCGUAGGCGGGCUGCCGCGUCCGGGGUGAAAUCCCACGGCUCAACCGUGGGACGGCCUCGGGUACGGGCGGCCUCGAGGGGGGUAGGGGCGUCUGGAACUGUGGGGUGGAGCGGUGAAAAUGCGUAGAUAUCGGAGGAAUACCGGUGGCGAAGGCGGCAUCCUGGACCGAGAUUGACACUAAAGCGCGAAAGCCAGGGGAGCAAA